rnacentral:rRNA from 1 species
AUAUUAUUAAGCGGAGGAAAGAACAUAUACUAGGAUUCCCCUAGUAAUGGCGAAUGAAGUGGGAAAAGCUCAAUUUUGAAAUCUGGCAGCUUCGCUGUCCGAGUUGUAAUCUCGAGAAGCGUCUUCCGUACUGUACUACGCAUGAGUCUGCUGGAAUGCAGCGUCAUAGAGGGUGAGAACCCCGUUCAUGGCGGAGUAUACAGUGCUUUGUGAUGCGCUUUCGAUGAGUCGAGUUGUUUGGGAAUGCAGCUCAAAUUGGGUGGUAAAUUCCAUCUAAAGCUAAAUAUUGGCGGGAGACCGAUAGCGCACAAGUA